rnacentral:rRNA from 1 species
UUUUUCGGAGAGUUUGAUCCUGGCUCAGGACGAACGCUGGCGGCGUGCCUAAUACAUGCAAGUCGAGCGGACAGAAGGGAGCUUGCUCCCGGAUGUUAGCGGCGGACGGGUGAGUAACACGUGGGUAACCUGCCUGUAAGACUGGGAUAACUCCGGGAAACCGGAGCUAAUACCGGAUAGUUCCUUGAACCGCAUGGUUCAAGGAUGAAAGACGGUUUCGGCUGUCACUUACAGAUGGACCCGCGGCGCAUUAGCUAGUUGGUGGGGUAAUGGCUCACCAAGGCGACGAUGCGUAGCCGACCUGAGAGGGUGAUCGGCCACAC